rnacentral:tRNA from 6 species
GGUGGGGUUCCCUAGCGGCCAAAGGGAGCAGACUGUAAAUCUGCCGUCAUCGACUUCGAAGGUUCGAAUCCUUCCCCCACCACCA